rnacentral:rRNA from 1 species
GACGAAGGGGGCUAGCGUUGUUCGGAAUUACUGGGCGUAAAGCGCGUGUAGGCGGUUGUUCAAGUCAGGUGUGAAAGCCUUGAGCUCAACUCAAGAAAUGCACUUGAUACUGGAUGACUAGAGGACCGGAGAGGAUAGUGGAAUUCCCAGUGUAGUGGUGAAAUACGUAGAGAUUGGGAAGAACACCAGUGGCGAAGGCGGCU